rnacentral:tRNA from 1 species
GGGGAUAUUGCAUAGUUGGUUAGUGCGUUGGUUUGUCGAAUCAAAGGUCACGGGUUCAAAUCCCGUUAUCCC